rnacentral:rRNA from 1 species
AACGAACGCUGGCGGCAGGCCUAACACAUGCAAGUCGAACGCGUCCUUCGGGACGAGUGGCAGACGGGUGAGUAACGCGUGGGAACGUACCCUUUGGUUCGGAACAACUCCGGGAAACUGGAGCUAAUACCGGAUAAGCCCUUCGGGGGAAAGAUUUAUCGCCAGAGGAUCGGCCCGCGUUAGAUUAGCUUGUUGGUGAGGUAAUGGCUCACCAAGGCUACGAUCUAUAGCUGGUCUGAGAGGAUGAUCAGCCACACUGGGACUGAGACACGGCCCAGACUCUUACGGGAGGCAGCAGUGGGGAAUCUUGGACAAUGGGCGAAAGCCUGAUCCAGCCAUGCCGCGUGAAUGAUGAAGGCCCUAGGGUUGUAAAAUUCUUUCGACGGGGAAGAUAAUGACGGUACCCGUAGAAGAAGCUCCGGCUAACUUCGUGCCAGCCGCCGCCGUAAGAC